rnacentral:lncRNA from 12 species
AGAUUAGGCACAGACGUAUCGCUGCUAAACGGAAUAAAAGACUGUAGGCCUAACAUAUUACUCACCUUCAUGUCGUCCACGACCGUACUGGUUGGAUUCUGAUAGCUUACUGAUUUAAGUCGACAAGACCUUGUUCCACGGCAAAGUUCCGAUUUAAAAAAAAAAUGUAAAUGAAAACUAAGUGAUGAGUAACGUUACCCGUAAAUAGACGUUUUGUAUGAAAGAUUUUAUCAGUAGACAAGAGCUUGAUAGCAGCCAGUACCACGCUCACAGUUCAAAAUGAAAAGGGCGCGAAAUACAUGUAUAGAACAUACCGCAUGUAUGCGUACUCGCGUGAAGUAAACGGACGGUUACAGUAAAGUUUAAAUUGUGGUUCCAGUUCCAGCUUGCUUACGCUUAGCCUUUAUUCAGAUUAAUUUGUGGGAAAAUGGAUGUGCCGAAUUUCCACUGCCUUUUUUCAUUUUUUGAAGAGGACUCGUUUGCUGUAGGGGACCUCAAGUGGGUAAACCUGAGUGGUUGCGGAGUGUCUAGGGACAAAUUGAACCCACAACAUUGGAAAAAAGAUACCGCGAUAACGGUGAGAUGGCCUGACAAAAAGGGCCAGUAUCAGCUCUACCCUGCGAAAAUUCUUAAAAUGUCAGCUGAUAAGCACAGUCUGAUCAAAUUAAGAGAUCACCUUAUAAAAGCCUAUGAAAGCGAAGAGGACUGUGGUCGUGGAAAAAGGAAGAGAAAAGAUCUUUGUAUCUCUUCUGAUGAUGAAGAGCCUGUGGAGAAGGACAUAAUUAAGAAAAAGCCUGAAAAGAGGCCUAGUCUCUUAUCAAAACUGCUGGAAAAGCGCAAGGAGCAGUUAAUUGUAAGUGAAUGCAUCAUGAUUUAG